rnacentral:rRNA from 1 species
AUUGAACGCUGGCGGCAGGCCUAACACAUGCAAGUCGAGCGGAUGAAGGGAGCUUGCUCCUGGAUUCAGCGGCGGACGGGUGAGUAAUGCCUAGGAAUCUGCCUGGUAGUGGGGGAUAACGUCCGGAAACGGGCGCUAAUACCGCAUACGUCCUGAGGGAGAAAGUGGGGGAUCUUCGGACCUCACGCCAUCAGAUGAGCCUAGGUCGGAUUAGCUAGUUGGUGGGGUAAAGGCCUACCAAGGCGACGAUCCGUAACUGGUCUGAGAGGAUGAUCAGUCACACUGGAGCUGGGACACGGUCCAGACUCCUACGGGAGGCAGCAGUGGGGAAUAUUGGACAAUGGGCGAAAGCCUGAUCCAGCCAUGCCGCGUGUGUGAAGAAGGUCUUCGGAUUGUAAAGCACUUUAAGUUGGGAGGAAGGGCAGUAAGUUAAUACCUUGCUGUUUUGACGUUACCAACAGAAGAAGCACCGGCUAACUUCGUG